CCAGACCCAGGGAUCAAACCUGCGUCUCUUAUGUCGCCUGCAUUGACAGGCGAGUUCUUUACAGUUCACCUUUGAAGACAGGUGAUCUGCCCGAGGAGCCAGUCCUUUGUCACAGAUUCAAGAGUUGCUGAAUUGGAAGAGAAGCCCUGGAGCUGAAGGUUGGGACCUGGCUGCUGCCCCACACCUACAAGAUGAGCUGACAGAAGAGGCGACAGCGUGCACGAUGUGCAGCAAUGCCGUGUACCCUCCACUGGCCCUCCUGGUGUAAAAGAAUAUGACCGCUUCCACCUGUCAGAUCUCAGGCAGAAUGCCUCUGUGGCUCUUGCUAUCCCAGAACUCUGCAGGGAAGGAAGUGAAAAUGUACUACCAGCUUAACCAAGUUGACAGCGUAGAAACCAACCACAAUAAGUAAAUUAUAUGGGAUGUUAAAGUCUAUAAGUGCUGUGGAGAAAAAUAAGGAAGAGGAUGAAAAGUCUUUGAGGGGUAGGAAUUGUAAUUUUAAAAAGAGUGUUCACAGAAGGUCUCACUGAGCAGGUAACAUUAGGUCAAAGACUUGAAGGAGGUGUGGGAGUGAAACAUGCUGCUAUCUGGAAGAAUAGUCUCAAUGACCAGUGCUCCCUGAGUGGCACCAAACCUGUGUGAUGGACACCCUUGUCCAAGGCUCCCAGUGAGCCCCAUUCAUGUCUCCCUCCCUUCUGCAGUCCCCUUCCCUGGAGUGGUGAAGAGUUGAGAUGUUACUUCUGUGGUUAGGUAAUAAAAGACUCUGACCUGC